CAUUUGGGUCUAUUAAUCUACUGCAGUGUAUGUAUAUUGCUUGUCUCACUACAGGAGAUUAUCUCAUGCAGACUGAUAAGAUCUGGCAUGCUUUAUAUUUAGAAACUCAUAACAAGAGAUCAACCAAUGAAAAUAAAGUCAGUGAACUACUUCUGGGGGCUGUACAUGUACCACAAAAAGUAAUCCAUAGCUUUUUCUGUUUUAUAUCAGAGUAAUCUUCAAAAUUUAUGAGUAUGUGAUUGAAUGGAAUAAAAUCUUCCUCUAGUACAAAAAUAUUUUAACAUCAUAGAUGUAUCAUUACCUUCAUUAGCUGACUGUAAAUGGCACAUUUGCCCAAGAAUAUCAAAAUUUCAAAUCUACACAGGAAGUUCUUUGACAGAGAGCAGAAUAGAGUAAAUAUUUGGGAGAGUGUUUCCCUAAAUAUUUUACUAUGUGCAGCUUAUUUCAUCUUGGAAGUUAACAGUAAUUAACAGAAUGCACCAGGUAUAGCAUCAUAUGUGUAUAUAAAGUAUCAGCACACAUGAAUGAAUUGAGACAUGUUUAGUGAUCCAAUGUAUUGUGUUCAAAGGCUCCAUCCAACAGUUAAAAGACAUGUCAUAGCAGUGAAGCAAAUGGUGGCAAAUGAUGGCUUUGUGGUGGUUAGUGAAAAACUGAGGCAAUCUACAUUGGUGGUGGCAAACGCUGACAGAAAAUUUCUGGACCAGCAGCGACAUGAAGUUGAAAAUAAUGACAUAUUUUACACUGUACUGAAGAUGUAAUUGCGAAAAUCGUUAGGGCUAUCAGUGGAAAACAUUGAUAUACUACAAUAAGAGUGGAACUGACAUUUUAACACUAUUGUUUGUACUAUUAUACAUCACCUAGUUCAAAAUUCAUAAGCAUUUUUGUUAUAUUAUAGACUUUUGGCGUUGAAAAACAUAGUUAUUUAAAGACGUAAAUAAUAUCAUUAUUGUUCUAAAUUAGUUUAAAUGCUGACUGAUUUAAGAACAAUCAAAAUAAAAGGUUGAUUUACAUUUAUUGUUUCAUUUUUAUUGAGUGACCUUACAUUUAGAUUUGUGAUCACUUUUCUGUCUGUCCAUAAAUCCGUAUCAGUCAAAAAUGAUAGUCA
rnacentral:lncRNA from 1 species